CCUACGGGAGGCAGCAGUGAGGAAGAGUGGUCAAUGGACGGAAGUCUGAACCAGCCAUGCCGCGUGCAGGAAGACGGCUCUAUGAGUUGUAAACUGCUUUUGUACAAGGGUAAACCUGAAUACGUGUAUGCAGCUGAAAGUACGGUACGAAUAAGGAUCGGCUAACUCCGUGCCAGCAGCCGCGGUAAUACGGAGGAACCAAGCGUUAUCCGGAUUUAUUGGGUUUAAAGGGUGCGUAGGCGGAUUGAUAAGUUAGAGGUGAAAUGUCCGAGCUUAACUCGGGAACUGCCUCUAAUACUGUUGAUCUAGCGCGUAGAUGCGUUAGGCGGAAUGUCUGGUGUAGCGG
rnacentral:rRNA from 1 species